AAGUCGAAUUCGACAAUCGCUCGUCAAUUUUCUGCGAUUCAUGGCCAUUAUUGUCGACAAAAAUUAUCAACUACUUUAAAAAUUCAAGGAUAAAGGAUGUAAAGGAAUUUUUUUCAGUUAACAAGAAUCUUCCAGAAAAGGAAAAUAAUAAAAGUGUACUCGCGUUAUUUUUGUUGCCACUGUGUGUCACAAUUUACAAAAAUUUAAAAGAAGAAGAUCCUAAGGAUAAAUCUUCACAAGCAGGAAAAAAGUCCAAGCAGAGUCCAAAAGAAAAAGCUAAGACGAUUCCGAUUUCAAAGACGGAUAUUUCAAAGUCCUUUAUUCUACAUGUUCAGGACCUGGCAAAUUUAGAUAAGGAACCGCAGGAACAUGAAAAUUGGUUACAAUUAAACAGCAGUCUGGGUCUACCCUAUGUCAUUUUUUGCGGACAAUUAAACAGCAUUUACAUUGCUUACGUUGUCUUGUAUAAGGAAAGAUUUUUGUUUGACAAUCCUCUUAAAGCAG